CUACCGCAUGGACGGCGGCCUGGUCGGCGGCGGCCCGCUCGCCGGGCAGUUCAAGCUGGCCGCGCCGUUCGAGUUCGGGGUGGUCGAC
rnacentral:tRNA from 1 species